rnacentral:rRNA from 1 species
UACACGCAGCACAAGUGGUGGUCAUUAUUAUUGGGCCUAAAGCGUCCGUAGCUGGCUUGUUAGAUGCCUGGGUAAAUCGAUGCGCUCAACGUAUCGAACUCCGGGUAGACCGGCAAGCUUGGGACCGGGAGAGGCGUGAGCUACUCGAGGGGUAGGGGUAAAAUCCUGUAAUCCUUCGGGGAGGACCAGUGGCGAAGGCGUCACGCUAGAACGGCUCCGACAGUGAGGGACGAAGCCCUGGGGCGCAAACCGG